GGCAGAGCAAUGGAGGAUGGAUUUGGAGCUGCAAGGCAAUAAACUGGUAACUGAACAAAGCUUUGUGAGGUUGGAGGUAACUGCUAUUGAAGAAAUGCUUCAGGCCCUGGUCAACACAACGAAAGACAAUGAACAGAAAUCGCCAUUUGAUGUGAAGAGUGACUGUAAAGGAAGACAAGAAGAAGGCACAAGGAGAUUUGCUCCAAACUAGUUCUUCCCAUAAAAUCUCUGCCCCGGCCAGUUGCAGUGGCUCACGUCUGUAAUCCCAGCACUUUGAGAGGCCGAGAUGGAUCUGAGAACGCUGUCUGGGCUUGGUACCAAGAGCUGGUAUUUCACAGCAGCGACCGCCUCACAGACGAGCUGUGGGAAGCAGGAGGGAGACUCUCUCUUAGGGUGCCACUACUAUGGAGACACAGCUGGGCUGAACAAGAUUUGCUUCAAACGACAACAAGAGAGACAGAAAGUAUCUGGUUCAACCGCUGCCCGAGCAGGCAGGCACCAGAAGAGCUAGCAGCCAAUCCGGCCAUGCUCGAAGCCAGCUCUGCAGCUCAGCCAAUCAGUGACAUCAUUGCUUUCUUUAGCUUGCCCAUGGUGAUGUGAAGAUGAGAAGAAAUAGCAAGGCCCAACCAGUUCUUCAUCUGGAGACAGUUCAACGUUCUGCAAACCAGAUCUUCAGGAAUUUUACUGGGAUAAUUAUCCAAAUAAAUUGCAAGCAUUCUAUCCAAAUGGACAUCCAUAAAAAUUCAUCAGAGAGCAUUUUACUACUGAGCUGCAAAGGUAGGAAAAAUAAAUUUUUUUUGGUUAGAAAAUAUACUUCUUUCAUCUGCGUUUCAAUAAUUUAUUCCCCUUGUUAGAUAUACAUGGAAUUGAUAUUGCUUAUUCUGACUAAGUGAAAAGUGUUAUUUCUACUUACUGCUCAAUUAGAAACAUGUAGUGUUUAAUUGUCAGUUUGAAUUUUUCUUUCAUACUAUUACAGUUUAUAUUUUACUAUAGGCAGAAUUUCCUCUUUAUCCUAAAUUUUGAUAUUCUCCAUAAUUUCAUCGUGCCUUGACAUUGCUGUAUAUAAUUUCUAUACAUCAGGAAGGCAAUUCUGUGUGCAUGUGUGUGUGUAUAUAUAUAGUUAGAAGUUAGAAACUGAAACUCUUUUUUGUCUACCAUCAUUUCAUAUUUUUCUUGCUAUUUCAAACCUAUAAUUUUUAAAGAAACGACUAACGUAAUCAUUCAUAGAAUAUGCUGUCAGUAACUUAACAAUAUAAAUGUUAACAUGGAGGCAUUUAGUUCAGCAUUUGCUUUACUUAAUAGAGUGCAGAAAAUGUGGCCCUUUUCUCAGUUAGGGUGUAUGUGAAGAUAAAUUUAGAAUUUCUAGACUAGUAAAUACUUCUCUGAUAAUAACUUAAUUAUAGCUAUUUCAAACCAAAUUGUUUAAUUGUGGUGAAUCAUAUGUAAAUUGUUCAGAUGUAGGUCAACACCCACGCCCACAUUCUAGCACCUCUUUCCUAAUUCAAGACAACUUUGCAGUGCCUAAAAGAGCUGAACAGUGCAGAUUA
ensembl:lncRNA MIR99AHG mir-99a-let-7c cluster host gene